rnacentral:rRNA from 1 species
UACGUAGGGUGCGAGCGUUAAUCGGAAUUACUGGGCGUAAAGCGUGCGUAGGCGGUUCGUUAAGUCAGCUGUGAAAGCCCCGGGCUCAACCUGGGAACUGCGGUUGAAACUGGCGAACUAGAAUCUGGCAGAGGGGGGUGGAAUUCCACGUGUAGCAGUGAAAUGCGUAGAGAUGUAGAGGAACACCGAUGGCGAAGGCAGCCCCCUGGGCUGAGAUUGACGCUCAGGCACGAAAGCGUGGGGAGCAAACAGG